AGUGAACGCUGGCGGUAGGCCUAACACAUGCAAGUCGAACGGCAGCACAGGAGAGCUUGCUCUCUGGGUGGCGAGUGGCGGACGGGUGAGGAAUACAUCGGAAUCUACUUUUUCGUGGGGGAUAACGUAGGGAAACUUACGCUAAUACCGCAUACGACCUACGGGUGAAAGCAGGGGACAUUCGGGCCUUUCGCUAUUGAAUGAGCCGAUGUCGGAUUAGCUAGUGGGCGGGGUAAAGGCCCACCAAGGCGACGAUCCGUAGCUGGUCUGAGAGGAUGAUCAGCCACACUGGAACUGAGACACGGUCCAGACUCCUACGGGAGGCAGCAGUGGGGAAUAUUGGACAAUGGGCGCAAGCCUGAUCCAGCCAUACCGCGUGGGUGAAGAAGGCCUUCGGGUUGUAAAGCCCUUUUGUUGGGAAAGAAAUCCAGCUGGCUAAUACCCGGUUGGGAUGACGGUACCCAAAGAAUAAGCACCGGCUAACUUCGUGCCAGCCGCCGCCGUAA
rnacentral:rRNA from 1 species